rnacentral:piRNA from 1 species
CAUUUCGUGACAAGAGUGACGUCCAUCGGG